rnacentral:rRNA from 1 species
GAUGAACGCUAGCGGCAGGCUUAAUACAUGCAAGUCGAGGGGCAGCACAGGUAGCAAUACUGGGUGGCGACCGGCAAACGGGCGCGGAACACGUACACAACUUACCUUCUGGUGGGGGAUAGCCUUUGGAAACGGAGAUUAAUACCCCAUAUUAUAUAUGAGCUGCAUGGUUUGUAUAUUAAAGAUUUAUUGCCGGAAGAUGGGUGUGCGUAUGAUUAGGUAGUUGGCGGGGUAACGGCCCACCAAGCCGACGAUCAUUAACUGGUUUGAGAGCACGACCAGUCAGACGGGCACUGAGACACGGGCCCGACUCCUACGAGAGGCAGCAGUAAGGAAUAUUGGUCAAUGGACGGAAGUCUGAACCAGCCAUGCCGCGUGGAGGAUGAAGGUCCUCUGGAUUGUAAACUUCUUUUAUAGGGGGCGAAAAAAGGGAAUUCUUUCUCGUCUGACGGUACCCUAUGAAUAAGCACCGGCUAACUCCGUGCCAGCCGCCGCAGUAAGAC